GACGAACGCUGGCGGCGUGCUUAACACAUGCAAGUCGAGCGGUAAGGCCCUUUCGGGGGUACACGAGCGGCGAACGGGUGAGUAACACGUGGGUGACCUGCCCUCAGCUCUGGGAUAAGCCUGGGAAACCGGGUCUAAUACCGGAUAUGACUCCAUGACGCAUGUUGUGGGGUGGAAAGCCUUGUGCGGCUGAGGAUGGGCCCGCGGCCUAUCAGCUUGUUGGUGGGGUGAUGGCCUACCAAGGCGACGACGGGUAGCCGGCCUGAGAGGGCGACCGGCCACACUGGGACUGAGACACGGCCCAGACUCCUACGGGAGGCAGCAGUGGGGAAUUGUUCGCAAUGGGCGCAAGCCUGACGACGCAACGCCGCGUGGAGGAUGAAGAUUUUCGGAUCGUAAACUCCUGUCGAAUGGG
rnacentral:rRNA from 1 species